GACGAACGCUGGCGGCGUGCCUAAUACAUGCAAGUAGAACGCUGAAGGAGGAGCUUGCUUCUCUGGAUGAGUUGCGAACGGGUGAGUAACGCGUAGGUAACCUGCCUGGUAGUGGGGGAUAACUAUUGGAAACGAUAGCUAAUACCGCAUAAUAGCAGUUGUUGCAUGAUAACUGUUUGAAAGGUGCAAUUGCACCGCUACCAGAUGGACCUGCGUUGUAUUAGCUAGUUGGUGGGGUAACGGCUCACCAAGGCGACGAUACAUAGCCGACCUGAGAGGGUGAUCGGCCACACUGGGACUGGGACACGGCCCAGACUGCUACGGGAGGCAGCAGUAGGGAAUCUUCGGCAAUGGACGGAAGUCUGACCGAGCAACGCCGCGUGAGUGAAGAAGGUUUUCGGAUCGUAAAGCUCGGUUGUAAGAGAAGAACGAGUGUGAGAGUGGAAAGUUCACACUGUGACGGUAUCUUACCAGAAAGGGACGGCUAACUACGUG
rnacentral:rRNA from 1 species